CCUACGGGGGGCUGCAGUGGGGAAUAUUGCGCAAUGGGGGAAACCCUGACGCAGCAACGCCGCGUGAAGGAUGAAGGCUUUCGGGUUGUAAACUUCUUUGAUCGGGGACGAAAACUGACGGUACCCGAGGAACAAGCCACGGCUAACUACGUGCCAGCAGCCGCGGUAAUACGUAGGUGGCGAGCGUUGUCCGGAAUUACUGGGUGUAAAGGGCGUGUAGGCGGGAUGUCAAGUCAGAUGUGAAAUACCGAGGCUUAACUUCGGGGGUGCAUCUGAAACUGAUAUUCUUGAGUGUCGGAGAGGAAAGUGGAAUUCCCAGUGUAGCGGUGAAAUGCGUAGAGAUUGGGAGGAACACCAGUGGCGAAGGCGGCUUUCUGGACGAUAACUGACGCUGAGGCGCGAAAGCGUGGGUAGCAAACAGGAUUAGAUACCCCAGUAGUC
rnacentral:rRNA from 1 species